rnacentral:rRNA from 1 species
UACGUAGGGUGCGAGCGUUGUCCGGAAUUAUUGGGCGUAAAGGGCUCGUAGGCGGUUUGUCACGUCGGGAGUGAAAACUCGGGGCUUAACCCCGAGCCUGCUUCCGAUACGGGCUGACUAGAGGUAUGCAGGGGAGAACGGAAUUCCUGGUGUAGCGGUGAAAUGCGUAGAUAUCUGGAGGAACACCGGUGGCGAAGGCGGCAUCCUGGACCGAUAUUGACGCUGAUGCGCGAAAGCCAGGGGAGCAAACGGG